rnacentral:lncRNA from 1 species
GCUGCUGCAGGCUGAGGCUGCGGCAGAGGCGGCGAGGCGCGGGCGGUGAGGACGGACAGUCACCGACUUAGUCCAGUUCCCUGUGAUCUCAAAACAAUUGUUGCAGCAGGCUCCUGGCAGUCUCAAGCAGUUCAUCUUCUUGGUGUACUGGUUUCCUAUUGUGAUUUUAUCAUGGAAAAUCAAUUGGCUAAAUCAACUGAAGAACGAACAUUUCAGUACCAGGAUUCUCUUCCAUCACUGCCUGUUCCUUCACUUGAAGAAUCAUUAAAAAAAUACCUUGAAUCAGGUAUGUUAAUAAUCUUUUAGUAUAUAUUAAUAUUAUUAGUAACUUAGAAAACUGUGAUACUGUUGCUGGAGAAGGGGUCUCGAUCCAGACUCUAAGAGAGAGUUAGAGUUCUUGGAUCUCUUGCAGGAAGGAAUUCAAGGUGAGUUGCAGAGUGCAGUGAGAAGAGACAGUUUAUUGAAAGCUUCUCCAUUAUAGAGUAGGACAUCCUCAGAAAGCAAGCAGACUGUCUUUAAGUUUUUCUUACAUAGGGGUCUUAUCGAUGUAAAGACUAAGCUGUGCCUAUGUGAGGGUGAGCAGACAGCAUGACAAAAUUUAUUAUUCUGUUGAUUUAAAGAAAACAAUCCUUGACAUUUUAGUGCAUGAAUACAUCAAAGAAUUAUGUUAAUCAUCUCAAAAACAUAUAUUGUUAUGGGUAUUGAGACAUCUGGACUUUCUACUGUUGUAGGAGUGUGUCAUUGUAAGUAUCUUUAGGUUGUUUCCUCAACUGUAAAUAUCUUAUGACUGGGUCAUGACUGGCAAGGAACGUGCCUUGCUAGUCUCAAGAUGGAGCUGAAUUUAAAAUGGUGUUACUCUGGCUCUCCUGAGCUCCUGCUUCCCCAACAUUUCCCCCUCUACUUAUGAGAGAACCCUUAACCUUAAGGGGAGAUAAAGGGUGAAGGUUGUUCUUUUGUAACUCCUUCCUGGAGGCAGUAGAUGUUGAUGGUUGGGACAGGGUCUUCUCAUAAUAGUGUGCAGUGAGCCUCUUCAGGGAGUAAGGGAGCUCCUUGCUUGCAUGAUAUCCCAAUUGUUUCUAGAAAGUUAAUAUACUAGGUUAGUAAAUAGAAAGGUGAAACAGCUGCUAAACUAUUUUAUCUUGCAACCCUAUACAAUAAACACAACAGAAAUAAAAGCACAAUAACUAAUAACAAUGAAUAUUAUAAUACCAAGCAUACUGAAAAGAAAUGCUUUCCAAGUGCUGGAAAGCUCAUGAAACUAUGCUGUUAUGGGGUCAUAAGACCGGGAAUCCAUAGCCAAAAUACAAGUUUCUAGAGAACUCAUGUCCUGGGAUAUAUUAUGGCAGUAAUCAGGAACAUAAUAUUCAGUUUUGUUCAAGACACAAGUUCCUCCCUUGGCUGCAGUUAAAGAAUGUAUAAAGCCAUAUGGUUUUGCAAGCCCACUGGUCUUAUUUGGGAAGUUUCUCCUGUCAGAAGUGUGAUAGCCUGAUGAGUGUCAUUGAAAGCCGCACCAGUAUGUUUUGCUAGAGCUUUUAUUUGUAAUUCAAUGUCUAUAGCUGCUGCUUGAAGAGAGAAUAUGGCCAUAGGAUAAAACCACCAAGAAGCCUGUUUUGUCAUCAACUAUGGUGGGCCUUGACUAUUUUUCAGUUGGUGAGGAAGGAAUUUAGAUGUAUAACAAUAUGUCGUAGAAGGUAAUGUUGACCCCUAGUACAUUGUCCAGUCCAGUUGUAAGGUAGGUAUAGCCAAUUGUGAGACCCAUGUGCCCAUAACCAUCCCCAAGGAGAAGGAUGAGCAUGCAAUCUUAGAGAUUUAUUUUGCCAUUCUGUCCACUUUGAUUAGUUAAGACCAGGGUCUGAUUGCAUUGUUGGGUGGCAACCACCCCAUGUUGUAGGUUUCAGCCUGGAAGUGGCUGGUGUCAUGUCUCUCAAGGCAUAAGAGUACUUUACCUGUCACCUGAAUUUGGGUAGCCAUUAAUCAACUAAGCCCAUCAAAAAUGGUAUAGCCUAAAGUGGUGAUGUUAUUUAGUUAUCUACAGAAUAAUUGAAAAAGGUGUUUUUUUUGUUUGUUUCAGUAGAGGAAGGGAAGGAUAGUGGCUGGUGUCUUUUU